CUGGCUCAGGACGAACGCUGGCGGCGUGCUUCAUACAUGCAAGUCGAACGAGAAGCUGACUUCGGUCAGUGGAAAGUGGCGGACGGGUGAGUAAUAUGUAGGAAAUCUGCCCUAGAGAGGGGGACAACAGAGGGAAACUUCUGCUAAUACCCCAUAUGAGCUUAGUUGAAAUACUAAUCUUGAAAACUCCGGUGCUCUAGGAUGAGCCUGCAUCUGAUUAGCUAGUUGGCGGUGUAAUGGACCACCAAGGCGACGAUCAGUAGCUGGUUUGAGAGGAUGAUCAGCCACAAUGGGACUGAGACACGGCCCAUACUCCUACGGGAGGCAGCAGUAGGGAAUUUUGCGCAAUGGGCGAAAGCCCUGACGCAGCAACGCCGCGUGAACGAUUAAGCCCUUCGGGGUGUAAAGUUCUGUCAGUAGGGACGAAACUUGACGGUACCUACAGAGGAAGCACCGGCUAACUCCGUGCCAGCAGCCGC
rnacentral:rRNA from 1 species